rnacentral:rRNA from 1 species
CAGCCGCCACGGGAAAACGAAGGGGGCUAGCGUUGUUCGGAUUUACUGGGCGUAAAGGGCGCGUAGGCGGACUGAUAAGUCAGGGGUGAAAUCCCAAGGCUCAACCUUGGAACUGCCUUUGAUACUGUUUGUCUUGAGUUCGAGAGAGGUAAGUGGAACUGCGAGUGUAGAGGUGAAAUUCGUAGAUAUUCGCAAGAACACCAGUGGCGAAGGCGGCUUACUGGCUCGAAACUGACGCUGAUGCGCGAAAGCGUGGGGAGCAAACAGGAUUAGAUACCCCAGUAGUCCCUGUCUCUUAUAA